AACGUAGGUGGCAAGCGUUAUCCGGAUUUACUGGGCGUAAAGCGUGCGCAGGCGGUUCGUUGUGUCGGUGGUGAAAUCCCCGGGCUUAACCUGGGAAUGGCCAUGGAAACUGGCGAACUGGAGUGCGGCAGAGGGGGGUGGAAUUCCGCGUGUAGCAGUGAAAUGCGUAGAGAUGCGGAGGAACACCGAUGGCGAAGGCAGCCCCCUGGGCUAGCACUGACGCUCAGGCACGAAAGCGUGGGGAGCAAACAGG
rnacentral:rRNA from 1 species